rnacentral:rRNA from 1 species
GAUGAACGCUUGCGGCGUGCCUAAUACAUGCAAGUCGAUCUAACGUACGAGAAGCUUGCUUCUCUGCUGUUAGCGGCGGACGGGUGAGUAACACGUGGAUUACCUACCUAUAAGACUGUGAUUACUUCGGUAAACCGUAGCUAAUACCGGUUAAUCUUUUGAACCGCAUGGUUCCAAAACGAAAGACGGUCUUGCUGUCUCUUAUAGAUGGAUCCGCUCUGCAUUAGCUAGUUGGUAAGGUAACGGCUUACCAAGGCAACGAUGCAUAGCCGACCUAAGAGGGGGAUCGGCAACACUGGAACUGAGACACGGUCGAGAAUCCUACGGGAGGAAGCAGUAGGGAAACUUACGCAAUGAGAGAAAGACUGAAGGAGCAAAGCCGCGUGAGUGAUGAAGGUCUUCGGACCGUAAAACUGUGUAAAUAGUGAAGAACAUAUGUGUAAGUAACUGUACACAUAGGGAGAGUACCUAAAAAGAAAGCCACGGCUAAAUACGUA